rnacentral:rRNA from 1 species
UACAGAGGGUGCAAGCGUUAAUCGGAAUUACUGGGCGUAAAGCGUGCGCAGGCGGUGAUGUAAGACAGUUGUGAAAUCCCCGGGCUCAACCUGGGAACUGCAUCUGUGACUGCAUUGCUAGAGUGCGGCAGAGGGGGAUGGAAUUCCGCGUGUAGCAGUGAAAUGCGUAGAUAUGCGGAGGAACACCGAUGGCGAAGGCAAUCCCCUGGGCCUGCACUGACGCUCAUGCACGAAAGCGUGGGGAGCAAACAGG